ACUUCGUCAGUUCUUUAUUGACAGCCGAGACGUGUAUCGUGUAUCGAUUUGUACCACGUGCCGGAAAGCGGUCCUUGUCGCCGCAGCUCUUGGUAUCGACCUCAACUUGAAAUACGUCAACAUGAUGGCCGGUGAGAACCGGAGUCCCGAGUUCCUCAAAAUGAAUCCACAACACGCGGUUCCCGUACUCGAUGACAAUGGAUUUUAUCUGUCGGAAAGUCGGGCAAUUUGCCAGUAUCUGGAUGAAAGACCUGACGAAGCGUGCAGUCGUUAAUCAGCGACUGUUCUUCGACCUGGCCACGCUUUAUCAGUCCUUCUUCGAUUGCUUCCUACGUCCAAUCUGACUGAAAGAACCCGCAGCUCCGAUCGAAGAGCUUCACGAGGCCCUGGCUCACCUCGAGAAUUUCCUCGAGAAACAGAACUCUACGUGGCUGAAGACAAUCUCACCAUAGCCGACAUUGUGCUUCAGUGCACGCUCUCCAACUUAUGGGUGUUCGAUUUCGACUUUAGCAAGUACCAGAAGGUCAGCAAGUGGUUUGCGCGGGUCAAGUCAGAAGUGCCAAAGUACAAGGAAAUCAACGAAGAGGGCUUGAAAAGCUACAAAAUACUUGAAGUAACCCAAGGUAGCGAAUAAAAUAACUCGUAGCGAAUAACUUAGAAUCUAGCUUUAUUUAAUAACUGGAGUUGAGAGGGCGAGAUAAACUAGACUUGUCUCGAGCUCGGCAGACGGUCGAAUGAAUAGCCGAAUGGUUACCUGUACAGUAGGUACCCAUGUAGGACCAACUAUACAUACAUGAUAUAGUUCGUUACUUGAAGAGCGUGAAUAUACAAAUUAGGAUAAAUAGUUAAUUGACUCUAUACAAUACAACAAUACUGAUAGAUCGCGUGAAAAGCAUGUAAACAGUUCUAUUAUAAUUUGCAAUUUUUUCAUUCGAAAUUUAAUUCCUGUGGUAAUUAAUCAAGUAUAUUAUAGCGUGUCUGGCUUUUUAUACAGAAUCUUGACCCUCUUAAGCAAAUAAAUAAUUAUCAAAUAAUAAUUACUCAUCAGUGUCUAAAUAAUAAUAUACAGAUAACUUCAACUAAUUUGAAAAGAGAAAGCGAGUUAUAUCGUCAGACACGUCAUCGACGUGAUCCUUAAAAAGUCAAUAAGCAUGACUUGCAAUGUUGCGCUGUAUGCCCACCUAGACCAUGACAGGCAAUCGCUUAUGGGCUCGAUCAUAACUGCCAAUCGCAGCAAAGAACCCCGCAAUGAAUUUCCGGAACUGUCAUUUGUAUUUGAAAAAAUUUCCAAAUAAAAUUCAAUCGUUUCAAACUGCA